AUUGAACGCUGGCGGCAGGCCUAACACAUGCAAGUCGAGCGGCAGCGGGAAAGUAGCUUGCUACUUUUGCCGGCGAGCGGCGGACGGGUGAGUAAUGCCUGGGAAAUUGCCCAGUCGAGGGGGAUAACAGUUGGAAACGACUGCUAAUACCGCAUACGCCCUACGGGGGAAAGCAGGGGACCUUCGGGCCUUGCGCGAUUGGAUAUGCCCAGGUGGGAUUAGCUAGUCGGUGAGGUAAUGGCUCACCAAGGCGACGAUCCCUAGCUGGUCUGAGAGGAUGAUCAGCCACAAUGGAACUGAGACAUGGACCAGACUCCUACGGGAGGCAGCAGUGGGGAAUAUUGCACAAUGGGGGAAACCCUGAUGCAGCCAUGCCGCGUGUGUGAAGAAGGCCUUCGGGUUGUAAAGCACUUUCAGCGAGGAGGAAAGGUCAGUAGCUAAUAUCUGCUGACUGUGACGUUACUCGCAGAAGAAGCACCGGCUAACUCCGUGCCAGCAGCCGCGGUAAGAC
rnacentral:rRNA from 1 species